GGAGUUGUGGCUCAGAGGUAGAGUGCUUGCCUAGCAUGCAUGAGGCACUGGGUUUGAUCCUCAGCACCA
rnacentral:tRNA from 1 species